rnacentral:rRNA from 1 species
UGCGCAGGCGGAACAAUAAGUCAGUGGUGAAAUCCUACAGCUCAACUGUAGAACUGCCAUUGAUACUGUUGUUCUUGAGUACAGUGGAAGUGGGCGGAAUGUAUCAUGUAGCGGUGAAAUGCAUAGAUAUGAUACAGAACUCCGAUAGCGAAAGCAGCUCACUAUACUGAAACUGACGCUCAGGCACGAAAGCGUGGGGAGCAAACAGGAUUAGAUACCCUGGUAGUCC